rnacentral:rRNA from 1 species
GCUCAGGAUGAACGCUGGCGGCGUGCUUAACACAUGCAAGUCGAACGAUGAAGCCCACUUGUGGGUGGAUUAGUGGCGAACGGGUGAGUAACACGUGAGUAACCUGCCCUUGACUCUGGGAUAAGCCUGGGAAACUGGGUCUAAUACCGGAUAUGACCUUCCAUCGCAUGGUGGUUGGUGGAAAGCUUUUGUGGUUUUGGAUGGACUCGCGGCCUAUCAGCUUGUUGGUGAGGUAAUGGCUUACCAAGGCGACGACGGGUAGCCGGCCUGAGAGGGUGACCGGCCACACUGGGACUGAGACACGGCCCAGACUCCUACGGGAGGCAGCAGUGGGGAAUAUUGCACAAUGGGCGCAAGCCUGAUGCAGCGACGCCGCGUGAGGGAUGACGGCCUUCGGGUUGUAAACCUCUUUCAGUAGGGAAGAAGCGAAAGUGACGGUACCUGCAGAAGAAGCGCCGGCUAACUACGUGCCAGCAGCCGCGGUAAUACGUAGGGCGCAAGCGUUAUCCGGAAUUAUUGGGCGUAAAGAGCUCGUAGGCGGUUUGUCGCGUCUGCCGUGAAAGUCCGGGGCUCAACUCCGGAUCUGCGGUGGGUACGGGCAGACUAGAGUGAUGUAGGGGAGACUGGAAUUCCUGGUGUAGCGGUGAAAUGCGCAGAUAUCAGGAGGAACA